rnacentral:lncRNA from 1 species
CUGCUUUUUGGGUCAGUCUGGAGCCAGAACUGGGAUCUGGAUCUCUCCCCUCUCCUCUCCAAAGUAAUUAAACCCUUUUAGGGGUGGGCGAGGGAAGCAGAGUGAGACCAGCAGCUGCGAAUUUAUUCCACGAGCUCAGCAGUAGCUUCGUCGGGGUAAAUAUUUAUAUAAAAUCCAUUCAAACUCGGUCUUGAUUUCCUCGGUGCGAUAAGGAGGGCUGGUUUUAUUUAGGGAGACACCAAGGUGAUGUGGAAGAGAUGUGGGUGGGCAGCGAAAGCUGAGCCAAUGGCAAUAAAGUCCUCCCCCUCCACACACACACACACACAGGCACACACGCGCCGAGGGGAGCUGAGAUUAAGCGAGCGAGCCUAAAACAAGUGCAGGCAGCUCGCAGGCUGUUAACUAGUGCGGAAAGCCGAAGAUGCUCCUUCCCGGAUGUCUCCAGCCCGACUGGGAGAUGCUCCCCGAGCUCCGGGGAUGCGACUGCAGGAUUUAGGCAUCUCUCCUCCUUCCCAGCUCUCCAUUUUGGACAGAAAACACCACCCCGAAAACCCAGCCUGUGCUGUCGGUGUGAUUUGCAAGGGAAAGGACCUUCAGGGAGAAGCACUGGAAGUGUGUGAGUCACACGUGGAUCCGGAGCCCCGCGGCAGGGCAGGAAGAGGGAGCUGUGAGCCGAGACCCCCAGCUCCAGCCUGGGCUGAGUCUGGAAGCGGCUGUGCCUCGGCAGGGCUGGGGGGACUGUGCCCAGCAGCUCCUGAGCCGUCCGGAUCAGCCCCCCGAGGCUCGAAAGACUCCAAACCAGCAGUCUCUGGAUGUUCUGUUUGCAGCCUUGACGGAUGUGUUUGGGGAAGGCGCUCCCAGAUGUGCAUUCAGCCGGGAGGCUGGGAAGGAGGAGGGGGUGGAGGGAGGAAAACUGGGUUUUCUACCCAAGAGAUGCUGCAGAUCCUGUGCUGAUGCCUUGCUUGGUACAGGAGAGCAUCUGUGGUGUGACUGCAGGAGUGAGAAUGAGGGGGAUCCAUCCAGGGUGUGAGGUGCUGGGUCUGAGCAGGGCCAGAGUAACUCCCUUCCAUAUCAGCUCCAUGAACAGCAGGAAUUUGGCUUGCUUUUUUCCAGAUCCAGAAUUAUACCCCAGGAUUUCUAUCUCUGUACAGCGUCCAGCCCUACAGCAGGUAAGGGUUCCAGAGCAUGGAAUCACCCAGAACAUGACUUUCCCAGCUGGGAUGAGAUGGGAGCAGAGGCAGAGAUUGUCAUGAUCUGCAGGGCAAUGCCUCAUGACUCUCAGCCACCUUUAAAGAUUAUAUGGGAUAAAAUGAGCCCAGUUUCUGGGCUAUAACCCUGAGUGCUGUUACCAUGACAACAGACCAUUUACACCAUUUGACCCCUUCAUCUUUCAGGUGCUUGACUGAUGGACCCCCAAGACUCUUCUCCCCAGGCUAUGAGCCACCCUGACCUCCCCCUGACAAUUUUCACCCAAGAGAUAAGAUCAUUUCAGCUUUGCUGUCUCCACAUUUGGCCUUAGCAAGCCCAGCCUUGGCAUCCCCCAGCAAGGAUGUUCAUAUGGGAAUGUCUCUCAGUCUGAGCUACCCAUACCAUCCCUGAUGCUUUCUCCAUUUUACACUAUGGAGUCUGAGGCAAAGAGAAGACAAAGGACUUGGGAGCCCUGAGCUGGAUUUCCCAGGAGGACUUUUCAGCAUACCAGAUUGCUGCCCUGAAGCUGAACCCUCCUUCCAUAGCCAGAAGGCUCCAGCACUGUGUUGUCAUGGAUGGCUGAGGUACAGAGGGAGCAGGAGCUGCCUCCAGAGUCUGGUUUCCUCUUGUACAAAUCCACAUCAGCCCUGAAAUGCAAAAUAUGAUCCCUCCUCCUGCAUCUGUGCCUGUGAGUAAAGCCAGGCUCUCAAUACCUUGUGGCUAAACAGACCUGUGUUCCUUCUGCAUUACUCAGAAAUUCAGACAAGGAGAGAUGCACAAACCUCCUGCACUUUGUGGUGCCUUUUCCAGGAGAGUGGAAAAGGCAGAGCUGAGCACACCCAAACAAGCUAUGGCCCAGAAUUAAAGCAGCUGAGGACCAGAGUGGCAAUAGCACCCAUGCUCCUGGCUCCAGACCUUGCUGCCUGUCUCCCCUUGUGCUCACCACCCCUGCAUAGUCAGGGACAAGACCCUUCCCCUCUAAAAAAUUCCUGGCUAGAAUGAGUUCCCUUUCAUACCCAUUCCCAGCCCAUCUGCAAAUCCCUCUCCCUUCCCCACACCUGCACUGCCUGGGCUGGUGUGUUAAUGCUUUCAUUUCUUCUCCAUUAAUGUUUUCAUUUUUCCCCCCCCCCCAUGUGUACAGCCUUUGCAAUCCCAUUUGCUGUAAUUCACACCAUAAACCAUCUGCUGCCUUUUAUUGUUGAACUGUGCAGGAAGCUUCAGCUGUAGCCUGGAGGGAACAGCCCCAUGCCCAGCAGAGCUGCCUGGCACCAGCUCCACACCAGCUCCACACUGGCUCUGCUCCACUGCCCCUGUGGAUGGGCACAAACCAGGGAGACAAAUCAUGGAAUCAUGGAAUGGUUUGGGUAGGAAGGGAUCAUCUCAUCCCACCCCCUGCCAUGGGCACAAACAUCUUCCACUAUCCCAGGAUGCUCCAAUCCUGUCCCACCUGGCCUGGGACACUUCCAGGGAUGGGGCAGCCACAGAUGCUCUGGGCACUGUCAUGUUCUGGUGAGGGCUGGUGGCUCAGGCUGUGUCCAAGAGCUGCCAACAGCCACAAUGUCCUGGGAGCCAGGGAAAGAAGCAUCUGGGAAUGGGCUGUGGGGUAACACCAGCAAGAGUGAAGGACAUGGGAUGCAAGGGCUGGUAAGGGCUGAUGGCCCCUCUGGCCUCCCCUGUGAACAACCCCUCAAGGGGACACAGAGGGGGAGGACAAGGCAGCCUGGCUGGUCCCAUAAACUCUCUGAGGUGGCAGAGCCCAGCUAAGGACACCUGUGCUAGGGAAAGUCCCAGGAAUGAGCAGCAUCCCUGGUAGGUGGAGGAGCUGCUAUGGGAACUCAUAGCCCAGUCUCAGCCCCUGGAUGUUCCUAGCAGAACGUGCUGCUUCAAAUUUGCUUCAAGCAGACGAGCCAGGCAGGGCCAGAAGACAUAUCCCCGAGAAAAAUCCCCUUUCUCACACCUUUGCAGAGAUGACGGGAAGUGGAGAGGGCCAGGCUGGCUGGCAAGAGGGCAGGCACAGGCUGUGCAGAGCCCUCUCUCCUUUGCACAGCCUGUGCCUGCCCUCUUGUGUCUCCAGCACUUGCUGCAGUGUUCGGGAUCCCACCCCGGAACAACGAGGAACGGCUCUCUCUAUUCGAGGAAGAAAAAGGGAUGAAGAAGGGUCCUGACAUGUGAAUCCCUCUGCUUUCACAGCCCCACUUGAGCCUUCCUGGAAGCACAGCCCAGUUAAAGGGUUUGCAAUGAGAAAGGUAGGACUGACCUCACACACACAGCAGUGGCAUGUUUUGCAGAGAAAAUGAGGUGCUUUAGUCCCCCAUGUGGCUCAGUAUAUGGUUCCCACUGCCCUGGGCCAGAGCCCUCUCCUUAACCCUGGAAAUCGCUGUGUUUUCUGCCAGUUCAUUUAUUUGAUGUUCCCCUCUGGGCUUGAAGAGAAAAUGGAUUUAUAAAAAAAAAAAGGAAAAAUAAAAAGGCAAUGAUGGCUGCA